rnacentral:tRNA from 1 species
GUUAAUGAAGCAAAACCGGAUAUGCGAGAGAUCUAAAUCCUCUUACAAAGGGGUUCAAGUCCCCUCACUAACU